GUAGCGUCUCGCUGCAACCUGCGGUGGACAUCCAACCCCGCCCACAUCCAGGCGUGACGUCAGUUACCACGUCCAUUCACAUCUCACUCCAACACAGUAGAUGGCGAUAAUGUACCUUAUGUUGGUGCUUCCCGAAGAAGAGAGAAAGCACGAAGUUGAAGUACUAAAGUUGUUUACCACGUCGGAUUACAGAAAGAACAUAAAGUGGAAGUUCAUAAGGAACAUUGGUCCAGCAUGGUCCUGGGUAGAGAGUCACCGCAAGAUAUUCCUUGGAGGGGUGAUGGAGCCUGCCUUUCUCCAGAUGUAUUUGUUUUCGAACAUCUGGAGGAUCUGAACACGUUUAUUUCAAACUGUUAUGAGGAACAAGGCCUGUAAGGGCCAUGAAAUAUUCUUGUUCAAUAAUAAAUACAAAAAUGCCCAGUGAAGCAAGAAGUGUCUUUUAAUUUAUCUUAAAGUAUCUGGGUGACCUGGACAUAUUCAUGUCAAGUUGUUAAAGAACAAAACCUCUGAGAGUCAAAGCCAUGUUACUAAACUUCUACUGAAGUGCAAUAUGACAUUCUAGCACAUGCCACUUUUGGUCUCAUUAUACAAUGUUUCCAUUAUUAACAUUUGGCGUCUAUGCUUCACUGUCAAUUCUAACACAACCACUUUGUGUUUCAUUGCACAAUGAAACAUACAAUGUUUACAUCUAUGAACAUUUAUGCUCUAUGCUGUAUUGUGUUGUGUUUUAUACUAUAUUGGCUACUUCGUUGUGAUUAUACUGUAUAUUGUAAUAUUGUUGUGAAUAUUGUAAAUUGUACAGUCAUGCUUAGUGCUUCUAGUCUAGUGUAUGAAACUUGUGUAUAGUUUUAAACAUGAAAACUGAUAUAUAUUUGUAUUUAUCAUGAAGGCAUCUGAAGCUUGCUCCACCAGAAUGUCAUUGCAAAUGUACAGUGAAAAUAAAGAUCUUAUAUAAUC